ACGCCUAAGGUGAGGGUACUAAAGGCUCAAGGUCCUCAUCCCAAAAGAUAAAAAUAGUUUACCCACCGCUACUAUCGUCGGUCAGUGCUAUCUUUAUCAGUUGGGAUGAACAGGUUUAUGUAAGUAAUGGAUUACCAUGAGUAUCCACUCGCAGAUUCCACCCAUAAACCCUCCUAAGGUCCUAGAUUGGGCGAUCGGGGUUUUAGACCGCGGUUGUGUGUGCAGUGUCGUGCUAAAGCUUGUAAACAUGCAUUUAAAUUUAAACAUCCAGCACUUCAAUAUAAACCCACAUACAUUCAUACAUCCUUACACCACCUGCAAAACAAAUGGUUUACAAGCACGCCUCCCCUUAUAACUCCCACCUACAAAACCAUUUAACACGGGGUUAGCGACUAACCUGAUUUUCCACGCGACUUUGACAUGCAGGCGAUCCUACAUAAGACAUGCUAGUUAAAACACAACAACCAUUUUUAAACGGCUUCAAGUCCUCUUAACCUAGUAACCAGUCCCCAGUGGAGUCGCCAAGCCUGUCGCGACCCCAUCUCGCCGCCCCUCGAGAAGUAUCCAAGGUGGGGAAAGGUCGGGUUUAGGGGUACUAGAUCUCGAGAUCGCGAGCUCUCCCAAGCUCGUACCCCGCGUGACAGUAGGUUUAUUUAUACGAUCUAGGUAUUUAACAACCUAAAAAAUAUACAGGAGUCGCCACUAGCCUCAUUUUUGGGGGUCGGCUAGAAACCCAAUCGAGGGUCGGGAGUAUUCCCUCGAUUCCUACGCAACCAGAUAUCUAGGUUCGGGGACUUGGGUUACGCUAAUAUUGCUAUUAGCGCCCUUUCGGUACCUAAACAGGAUGUUGUGUUUUUCCUAACAUGUCCAUGCAUUUCUUUUUAUAUUUUCAGGAUCGUCA
rnacentral:lncRNA from 1 species